ACAUAUAAUAAGCAUACUUGUAUGUUUAUAUCAAGUUCAUCACUUCAAACUGAAAUUAAUCAGUCAAUAUUACAUGUCUUUAAUUACCCUGCUAGAUGCUUCAGCAUAAGCAUAUCUUAUGCAGUGAGAGCAUAUGUUAGAACUGGAAUAUCUCAUUUUGUACAGUUAGUGGGCAUUGAAAGUCAGUCAAAGUCGAUGUCAUGUUAGUUACAGGGUAUUGUUCUUCUAUCUGCAAAACAGACAAUGAGAGAAAAAGGUUUAUAAGACUGACUACUUUAAUUUAAAACAAAACAAAAAAAUAAUCAAAAUUAAUCUUUGUUGUGUCUUACCUUAUCCUGUAAAUAUUUGUUUGCAGCUUGUAGUAUCCCUUCCUAAUAUAAAGGUAAAAACAUGUUUAGUAAAGGAUGCAUUAAAGAUAGCUACCAUAUAUAAUAUUGUUUAGCAACUUCAUAUCACACUUCAAGAUAUCAAUAUUUGUCAAUAAAAGCCUAUAAUUCAUCUCAUUUUUUAAGUAGAACAAACUCCACUAUUACAAAAGUAGCAUAAUAAUUCAAGCUAUUAAGCAUAUACUCACACUUUCAUAUAUGCUAUUUAUUGUAAUUUUAGUGAUUUUUACAUAUAAAUUUAUGCCCCGCAUUGAAAGUACUAGGUUCAGCUGAACCCGAUAACUAUAUGUUGCAUCCGCUCCUGUGUAAAAGUCUUCUACUUGCAGCUAAUAUCACAAUUUACAAAAUAUAUAUAAAUGACAUUUGCAUUUAUAAUAUUAUUAUUUAAAGACCAGUUGGCCAAACUUAUAAAAUCUGCUUAUUUUAAAUAUUUUUUGUUAAAUUAGAUUUUUAGAGAAGCAAGUUGGAAGUAGCAGCUUGCAUUUCAACAAUCCGUUUAAGACGCACUUUUCUCAGUAUUACAAAAAUAGCUUUGUUUUGUUAAUAUUACUAAAAGGCGCUUUUGAGUGUCAAACUAUGAAAAGGUCA
rnacentral:lncRNA from 1 species